UAAAACCUUCAGAAGGAAAGGAGAAUGUUUUGAGGACCGUUUGUGUUUUUUUGU
rnacentral:miRNA from 1 species